CCACCUCCUCUGUCACUCAUCUGUAGAGGGACAUAGAUUAUGGAGAGGUAAACGCAGCGUUGAGGGCUCAGCAGCCAUUAUGGAGGCAAGACAAAUAGUCUUUAAUCAUUACGAAAGGGUGGAGACCUUACCUUGUUAGCAUAAAACAUAGACCUGUUAUACUGUACAUGUGAGUGUGUAACUCCACCCUUAGUAACCAUGUAUCAAACAAUAGUGUGCUGAGUCAAUCCUGUCUAAAUAUAGAUGCAUAACAUAAUCAGCCAGGAGCUGAUUAUGUCAAUAAUUGGGGUUGGUAUCUGGACAGAUGAUGGAUCUGGAAUGAUAAUGAGGGUUUAUGGAGUUUAGGUCAUGUAAUUAAGCAGCUGAACAGUCAGCGUAACAAGAACAAUGGGGCAAAGGGUGAAAACACAUUUCAGAAUGGGGACAAAAAGAAAGCAUUGAUUCUACUUUCUUUCCAUAGCUUCCAUAGCAAGUAUCACAUAAUCACCUUAAAGUACAAAUAAUGUGUGUUACAUACUUAUGCAUGGCUUUAGUACAGGAAGGAUUACUAUCUACUAUUUUUUUUGGAGUAAAGAAGUUUAAGUUAAGAACUGUUUCUAUUCUUGGUUUGAGAAUUUGGGGCAUUCAACGAACACCUUCCUUGUUCUUUCUUUCAACUUGUGACAUUUUAGAAAGCUUAACUAAUGUUGUGUUAAUGUUUGCUAAUGCAUUCUGGGGUUUUAUAGCCACUCCUGCCAUCAUGAAUGGUAUUUGCUCACCUUGCACUCUUUUGCAACAUAAACACAGAAGAAUCUGAAUUCCCUGAUGUGACUUUCCAUAUGACAGAACACACACUGCCCUUCCCUUUGUCCUUCCUUUCUGGUACGUUAAAGUGAUUUUACUCUGGUUUUUACUGUAGGGCUAAAGUAAAUGCAAUGAAUGCACCAGAA